UGGGGAAUAUUGCACAAUGGGCGCAAGCCUGAUGCAGCCAUGCCGCGUGUAUGAAGAAGGCCUUCGGGUUGUAAAGUACUUUCAGUCGGGAGGAAGGUGGUAAGGUUAAUAACCUUAUCAAUUGACGUUACCGACAGAAGAAGCACCGGCUAACUCCGUGCCAGCAGCCGCGGUAAUACGGAGGGUGCAAGCGUUAAUCGGAAUUACUGGGCGUAAAGCGCACGCAGGCGGUUUGUUAAGUCAGAUGUGAAAUCCCCGGGCUCAACCUGGGAACUGCAUCUGAUAAUGGCAAGCGUGAGUAUCGUAGAGGGGGGUAGAAUUCCAGGUGUAGAGGUGAAAAGCGUAGAGAUCUGGAGGAAUACCGGUGGCGAAGGCGGCCCCCUGGACGAAGACUGACGCUCAGGUGCGAAAGCGUGGGGAGCAAACAGG
rnacentral:rRNA from 1 species